AUGUGCGACCAGAAGGGGGCAAGAGAAGAACAAACCCUAAUCAACACAAAUCAAUCAAAUUGAAAGGGGAUUUGGAGUCUAGGUGAAUGUAUGAGAUAAGAAUGGUGAUCACCUAAGUGUUUCUUGUAUCAAGCACAAAGAAGGAGGAAGGCGCAAGUCACUCAAAGGCACAAUCAUCACAAGAUCGCGGUAAAUCUCAUGCUUGAUUGCGGCGCAUUCGGAGCGAACACACAAUUGUCAACCUUUACACGCUUCCGGUUUAUGUUGUUAAUGAUGAAUGGGUCAAAAACUCUGUUUUGUCG